AUGCAUGAACUUGAGCGCAGCAGGUGGCCAUGGCGGCACCCUGGACAUGUUGGCGCUCUACAGUCCACGCCCCACCGGCGACGGCAGAAUAGUCUACACCGACAUGAUGGGCAACGCCGACGGACAUGUCCACACCGCGCUGAGCCGCCUCAACCCAUGUGCCUGUCCAUCGCGCAACCUGACGCGGACAAAGAAGACAGCCUGUAUGUCCUGGAUGCGUACCCCGGGAAGGGCGAUGAUGGGUGCUUCGAGGUCCUUGAGCGCACGCCCAGAAGAUUUAGGUGCAGGAUGAUGCCGCAAUGGCACUGGCGACUUGUUCCGCCGCCUCCCUUUGUCAGCCACCGGUCAGCCUUUAUCACCUCCUUUACCACCAUGGUCGACGGCGACGGCUGCUCGACCAUCUACAUAUCAUGCGCCGGCGCUGGCGGCGUCGAUGUCGGCACCUACAGCUACGAGACGCCGCGGCAGGAGUACAGGGAGCCUCGAGGAUGGCGCCACGUCGGGGAAUGGAUGCUGCCCUUUCGCGGCAGAGCUCACUACGCCCCUGAGUUCAACCUGUGGUUUGGCUUCUCGGCCUCGAGCCCCAACGAUCACCUGUGCGCCACGGACCUCUCUGCCAUGGACGGUGGACGGCAGCCCUCCGAGCCCACGGUAUGGGAAGAUCUGAACCCGCCUGCACAGGGAGAGCCGUGGCUUCCAAAGCAGCUCGAGCUUCUCCAACUGGGCGGCCGCAAGUUUCUCAUCGCAAAGACCUUUACGGAAGGAGAAAGAGGUGGGUAUUUUUCUGUGCUCACCGGCGUAGAGAUGAUGGCGUGCGCCGCCGGUGAUCACCGGCAGCAGACCCUUGAGAUGGUCAAGCACAAGUGCGCACGUUUUGUCUUCACGGAUGAGCACAUCGAGCGGGUGCUCUGA
rnacentral:rRNA from 1 species